CUAAUUUCCUCCACCACCACUAGUUAUCCAUGUUCAUUGCUGCCUGACACCCAACACUGGCCUGCAAGGGCACCAGGAACGGAUGGAAGAGACAGGGUGCCUGGGGAAGGGUGACAGGCAAGGGCCUCACACACUUCAGAGGGAAUUCACACCCACAUGAUGAGGCUGAGAGGAGCAGGACGCACAGACGCACGGCAGGCACCAGGAGAGCCAGGCUGCUCUGCUCUGCGGGGGAUCCAUGUGCUGUCCCCCUCUGUCUCUUGACUUUAUUUUCCACCAGGAGAGCACCUCCCUUAGUACCCUUGGGAGGGAAAGCUCACAACUCCUCACAGCGAUCUGGUAUUUUGAGCUUCAGUUUCUGGCCGAAACUGGGGGCUCCUGACGGAGUUCCCUCCCACCUAGAAAACCUUUCGUGCAGUCUGAUUGCUCCAACACCCACAGAGCAGGAUUCAGGCUGGGAGGCACCCCUAGGUACCCGGCUCCUCAUCACAGCAGCAGCCCUCUCGGUUCCACAUCUGGUUCUCCUGCCGAAGCC